UACAGAGGUCCCAAGCGUUGUUCGGAUUCACUGGGCGUAAAGGGUGCGUAGGCGGUCGGGUAAGUCUGGCGUGAAAUCUCCAAGCCUAACUUGGAAACUGCGUUGGAUACUAUCCGGCUCGAGGAAUGGAGGGGAGACUGGAAUACUUGGUGUAGCAGUGAAAUGCGUAGAUAUCAAGUGGAACACCAGUGGCGAAGGCGAGUCCCUGGACAAUUCCUGACGCUGAGGCACGAAAGCCAGGGGAGCAAACGGG
rnacentral:rRNA from 1 species